rnacentral:rRNA from 1 species
CCCUUGAGGGUCCUAAAGGGCCGUUGGAGACCACAACGUUGAUAGGCGGGGUGUGUAAGUGCAGCGAUGCAUUGAGCUAACCCGUACUAAUUACCCGUGAGGCUUAACCAUACAACACCCAAGAAGUGUUCU